rnacentral:lncRNA from 1 species
UGACGAGGGGCACAUUGAUUUCUUCACCAACUUCUUAUUCCCUCUCCUUUCAGGCAUGUUGGAAGAUUGCAUUGUCUUUCUCCUUGAAGUUAGACACAGCUGCAUGGGUGUUGAGCCAAUAAAACAGAGCAGAAGUGAAAUAAGACACUUCUAAGUGGAAGACUGCAAGUCUAGUACUCAUCUCUCCAGCCCUUCCUGCCCCUACUUGGAUGAGUGUAAUCACAGGAGUUCAUAUCCACAUGGAGGUGGUAUAAGCCUGGAGCAGCCUGGAAGGCUGAGCAAGCACACGGAGAGACAACCAUGGAGAAUUGCCUGGAGAUCAGCAGAUUUGUUGUAUUCUCAGGAAGAGCUCCUAUGCAGCUCAGUCCUCAGUGAUGGUGGAGAAGAGAAGAGAGCGUUCUGAGAGGUCUGCCGGUAAGAAGUCCCACCUGUGGUCUCAUCCUUGCUAAGGAGGGAAGGAUGGUUCCACUAAUCCAGGCAGCUAGCCACAGACCUUGCUGCUAAAAGAGCUUCUCUCCUGACUCCUGUUCUGUGCUUCAUUCCUCUGCUUGGAGCUCUCUCAUGCCCAACACCUACAGGGUUAGACCAUCCCUGGCUUCUCAAGACCCCUGGUCUUUGAAGGGACUCUUGCAGUGGUGGUGAAGACUUUGGAUGAAAUUUGGCCUUCUUGGACUGCCCCACAGUCUCCAUUACUGACACCUGUGUGGUGCCAUCUUCCUGGGAUACUGUCUACCUGGAACUAGAGGCCUAGCUUACUUUCCCCAAUAGCCUUUCCCCAUCUCAGACCCCAGCUGUCUGGAGGUGCUGGAUCUUCCUGCUUCCACAGGUUUUUGACCCAGGGUAGCUCUGCCUCUAGAUCCCUGUUUUACUGUGCAUGCUUAGCUCAUCAGAGAGCAGAAAACCUUGAUUUCCUUGAGCCCACUGAGUGUAAAGCUGGGAAUUCUACAUGACCAUCUGCAGAUGGGACCACGCGAGCUGAGUAGGGGACUGUAACCUGGGCUGGGAAGGACUUAAUUCAUCAGUUUUCACAUUGUGGAUGCAUACUGAAUUUCAGUGCCCAGGCCACUCCCCAGCCCAGAUAAAGCAGAAUCUCUGGGUGAGCCUAGGCAUCAGGGCAUUCCAGUAUCUUAGGGGAUUCCAGUGCCUAUUGUAGACUGUAAAUCAGAGAGUUAAACUCUUGCUAGCGUAGAUUUGAAACACCUCUCACUGCAGGGGUG